GCACUGCUGACGAGUCGCAAACAGGAUGAAACAGCUGUGCAGUGC
rnacentral:hammerhead_ribozyme from 1 species